rnacentral:pre_miRNA from 1 species
AAUUUCAGCUGAAAAAGUCAUGAACAUAAAAGUUGUAGAGCUCAUCAAGAUAUACAACUUUUAUUUUGGUUAUUUCGUCAUCCGAUAAAAUGAUAAUAACAUUGUUCACAAUGUUUACAUAUCUCUCUUAGUUUACAGAACUAUAAGAGAUAGAUGUAAAUUUUGUAAAGAAUGUUACUAUCACUUUAUCGGAUGAAGAAAUGACCAAAAUAAAAGUUAUAGAUUUUGAUGAGUUAUAUAACUUUGUUGUUGAUGACUUUUUCAGUUGAAAUC